rnacentral:rRNA from 1 species
GAUGAACGCUGGCGGCGUGCCUAAUACAUGCAAGUCGAGCGAACAGACGAGGAGCCUGCUCCUCUGACGUUAGCGGCGGACGGGUGAGUAACACGUGGAUAACCUACCUAUAAGACUGGGAUAACUUCGGGAAACCGGAGCUAAUACCGGAUAAUAUAUUGAACCGCAUGGUUCAAUAGUGAAAGACGGUUUUGCUGUCACUUAUAGAUGGAUCCGCGCCGCAUUAGCUAGUUGGUAAGGUAACGGCUUACCAAGGCAACGAUGCGUAGCCGACCUGAGAGGGUGAUCGGCCACACUGGAACUGAGACACGGUCCAGACUCCUACGGGAGGCAGCAGUAGGGAAUCUUCCGCAAUGGGCGAAAGCUUGACGGAGCAACGCCGCGUGAGUGAUGAAGGUCUUCGGAUCGUAAAACUCUGUUAUUAGGGAAGAACAAAUGUGUAAGUAACUAUGCACGUCUUGACGGUACCUAAUCAGAAAGCCACGGCUAACUACGUG